rnacentral:lncRNA from 1 species
GCCGGGCCGGGGGCGGGCGGAGCGCGGAGGCGGCGAGGGAAGCAGGGGAGAGGGUGGGAGAGCGAGGGGCGGCUGCGGGCCGGGAGCCCUGAGCCGGACUGAGGCUGGGGGGCUGGAGCUGGGGGCCGGGAGCUGGGAGCCGAGGCUGGGGACCGGGAGCUGGGGGCCGGGAGUUGGGGCUGGGGGCUGAGGCUGGGAGCUGGGGCUGGGGGCUGAGGCUGGCGGCUGGGAGUUGGGGCUGGGGGCUGAGGCUGGGGGCUGGGAGUUGGGGCUGGGGGCUGAGGCUGGGGGCUGGGAGCUGGGGGCUGGGGGGGCUGAGGCUGGGGGCUGGGAGCUGGGGGCUGGAGGCUGAGGCUGGGCGGGGGCAGGGGCAGGGGCUGUUGCUGACGGUCCGGGGAGGGGUCUGGGGCUCCCCGUGUCUCCCGCAGCCUCCGGGCAAGCGCCGGAGGGCGAAAGCAGCGUGUGGUCGGAGGCGGAGCGGUGCGGGCCGGUGUGCGGGGGGCCGGGGCGCGGGGGCCCGGCGCUCGGCUCCUCCGGCUUCGCCCCCUGGCCGGACCCCUGAGCCCGCACCCCGCACCCCGCACCCCGCACCCCGCACCCCGCACGGAACUCCAGCCGUCCGCUGGGCGGCUCUUUGGCCGGGUCCGGCCGCAGGCUGGCGGGGACAGCGGCCGGCGGACAGCGGCCAGAAGGCGGCCGGUCCCGGGACGAUACCUGCCUGGACCUGAAUGUGAUGUGUUCUAAGGGACAUCUGUGAAUGUACCCACACCCACAGCGCCUCAUCCUCGUGUUAGCCGCCAACACUACCAAAAACCAUCUGCGACAGAGCCGAUUGUUUGCAUAUCAACCCUUCUUCACGGAAGCUGGGUGAUCGAUCCUUGAAAAACCAGAAAAACUGAAAGGUAACCUUCAUCCUAGCCCUAAAUAAUAAUAAUUAAUAAUUGUGGUAUUAGUUAAGAGCUUACUAUGUGCCAGGCAUUGUAAUAAGCACUGGGGUGGAUAAAAGCAGUUUGGGUUGGACACAGUCCUUGUCCCAGGUGGGGUUC